AUCUGAUGGCUUGACUGGGGCUGGAAGAUCUACUUCCAAGAUACUGCUGUCCCAUGGGGGGGGCAUCUUGUGCACCUCCAGAACAUGAGCUGAGCACCCAGUGCCUAGAGCCAGGGGCAGGACAGAAGGAGGCUCUCCCAUGACUUUACAGAUUCAUGGGCAAGAAAUCAGGUACGCCAAAGUAAACAGACAAUAGUGCCCUGAAGGAGUGACAUGGAGGGCUGGUUUCCCCAGACAUGUGUGCAUGCCUGUAUGCACCUGUAUGUGUGACUGUGUGUGUGUGUAUAUAUAUAAUAUAUAUGUGAAUACGUGCAUGUGUGUGCAUGAGUGGACAUGUACAUGCAUGUGUGUGUGUGUGUGUGUAUGCAUGCAUUAGUGUAUGCAUACAUGCGCGGGGGUGAUCACUGAAGGUGUUUUUGAGAAUGUGAUACUUAAGCCAAAAUUUGAACAUGAAGAUUAGCUAAAGGGAAAAGGGGUGAAAGAAUAUUCUAGAAGUGGGCAAGUGUGCACAGGAGAGAGCAACGAGUUUGGGUCUUGCGGGAAUAAGCUGGGGCAGGCUCCCUGGGAACUGGGCUUUGGCCGGGUGUGUUGGACAGAGGGAGAGAGGGUUGAUCAGUUGAGGGUCCUCUGCAUGUCAGUGACUUGCUUCUAGCAACUGGGAGGAAGUUCGGGGGAUUCCAAGCCAGAAAGGGACCAGCUGGUGAGCAGCAGGUGGGCAGGUGGCCCCUCAGUCCAGGUGUGCGUUGGUGAGGCAGGUGUGAGAACUGAGGCAGUGCUGGGGUCAGCUGGGGACUAAGCUGGAGAGACAGGAGGCUGUGCUGGGGAGAUCCGGCUAUAAUUUAUAUUUGCACCUGGGGAAGUACACCUGUGGUCGGAUGGAGUGAAGGCAAUUGUGGAGGAGGAGAGGGGAGAAAAAGUCCAAGAAGCCAGAAUCUGGAGGGGCUUCAUCUGUGGGGCCCAAAGUCACAGGAACGAGGCCGGGAGUCGGUGUCGGGGAGGCCACUUUCUGGGGUGAGCAGCCUUACUGGGGAGAAGAGGAGAGGGUGGGCAGGCCCAGGCGACCCCGAGCUUCUGUUUAGAGGACGAUUACCAAGGCUAACUCAAUCCAAAUGGAUGCUCAGCGGCAACUGGGUUGAACGUGGAAAAAGCAGAGAGACUUUCUGUAAUUUACAGUCCGGGAGGCCAGAAGUGUGAAGUCAAGGUGUCGGCCUGGCCGUGCUCCCUCCGGAGUCUUCAGGGGAGGGUCCUUCCUGCCUCUUCCAGCUCCUGGUGGCUCCUGCAGUCCUUGGCUCACAGCUGCAUCUCCCCAGCCUUGGCCUCCGUCUUCACAUAAUCAUAUUCUCUGAGUUUUCUCCUCUCUUUUCUGUUUUUCUCCUCUGUGUAUCUCAUAAACACACUUGUCAUUGGAUUUAGGGCCCGCCUGGCUAAUCCAGGAUGAUCCCCUUUGGAGAUCCUUAACCUUAUUACAUCUUCAAAAAGCCCCUUUUCAAAAAAGGUCACAUUCACAGUUUCCAGAUAUAAUUUUCUGGACAUGUCUUUCUGGAGGCCACCAUUCUACCCACUACAGAUGGUGACUGUUAGGGGCUGAAUGGUGGCCCUCAAAUUUCAUAUGUUGAAAUCCCCACUCCCAGUACCUCAGAAUGUGGCUCUAUUUGGAGAUAAGGUUUUUAAAGGAUUAAUUAAGUUAAAAUGAGGCUAUAAAGGUGGAACCUUAGCUAAUAUGACUGGCAUCUUUGUUUAAACAGGGAGAGACACUGGGGGGUGUGUGUGCACAGAAAAAUAGCAGGUGAAGACACAGUGAGAGGGCAGCCUUCUACAAGGCAAGGAGAGAGGCCUCGGGAAACUAGCCCCGCUAGCACCCUGACCUUGGACGUCCAGCCUCCAGAACUGUGAGACAAUAAAGUCCUGUUGCCAGGCUUCUGAGGUCCUGGAGACCCACAGCUAGGCUGGGAGCAGGAUGGCUGCUGUGAAGGUGGUAGCUGCGGAAGAAGUGGUGGCAGUGGUCACAGCCCUGGGAGAGAUGAAGGGGUCUACAUGGGCCAGCACUGAGACCUGUCAUGGAGGCCAACAGGAAUCCCCAUCCCUGGAGCCGUCUGCGACUUGCAGGCUGAGUUCUUCCCCUGCGUGGCCUGAAGUGGCCCAGCUGUGAGAAGCCAUUGUGAGGAAUGAUGUUUGUUUAAUAGAGAGUGCGCCAGCAUCGAACUGUCUGCAGGCUGAACCCCUAGGGAGGAGGAGAGGAAAGAAAGCCCGAUGGCUUCAGGCUCAGGUCUUUAAAACUCGUUCUGGGAGAGAACACAUUUGCAGAGCCCCACACUGGGCUCCAGGCUCCUAGAAGCAGCGGGAGCCUGCGUGGGGGCUUUGCAGUUCUUCAUGGAUCGCCGGUUUCAUCUUCUGGGGCCCACCACGCUGACUUGUAUGCAGCUUGCCUGGUGCCGACGGCCUCCAUCCAGCACCCCCUGGACCUGCCUCCGAGUCUGGGUUUGGGGAGCAGAAACAGCAUGAUCUGGGGGACAGGGAUGGUCCCUAGGGGUUGUUAGGCUCCUCUGCCCUCCACCCCACCCACGUAGGCACCAGAUACGAAUGCAAAUGGAGUCACCUCUGGGCCAGCUGUCCUGAUCCUCCUGGGCCCCUGGGGUUUCCCUCCUGACUCUGCUCCCUGGCGGUCUGGGCUGUCUAUGUAGUCCUGCCUGGGAGUCCCAGGCAGGCUGGCGGAGGAGAUGGUGUCAGGGCUGGGCUUGGGAGGAUAGGAGGAAGUUUCCAGGAGUGGAGGGAAGGGGUGGGCAUUUCUGAUGCUAAAAGGGGGUCCCAAGGCCUGGAGUUGCCUGGGGCCUGAGGGUGGCACUGGGAAGUCAAUAGCAGGCUUUUAAAAAUAUUUCUUAUUGUGGUAAAAUACGCAUAAUCAUGAAACUUACCAUGUUAAUCAUUAGGUAUACAGUUGAGUGACACUAAGCACAUUCACCCUGUGUAGCCGUCACCGCCCUCCCCUCCAGGAUGUGCUCAUCUUUCCAGGCCAAAGCUCCCCACCCAUGGAACACUAACUUCUCCCGCCUCCCCGUGCCGUGCUGUGCUGUGCUGUGUUGUGUUGUGUUGAGCUGUGUUGUACUGUGCUGUGCUGUGCUGUGCUGUGCUGUGCUGUGUUGUGUUGUGUUGAGCUGUGUUGUACUGUGCUGUGCUGUGCUGUGCUGUGUUGUGUUGUGUUGAGCUGUGUUGUACUGUGCUGUGCUGUGCUGUGUAAGUGGGGCGUGUCUCUGGGCUCGGGCUAGGGUCUUGCCCUCUGCCUCAGCUGGGAUGGGUUUGAGGUGGGCAGGGCGAGUGGGCAGGUGGAAGGCUGGGAGCAUCUGGCUUUGAACGUGUCCAUCAUGUUCCCCACGUCCGUCCCUGGACAACCUGCACCCGUGGAUGGUGCCCAGGAACCAAAAAGGGAAGAUAAAUAACCAGGCUGUGUUCAUGUCAAGCCCCACUAUGAUCACAUUAAGAACGAAUGGAUGGCAGC
rnacentral:lncRNA from 1 species